rfam:Clostridium tepidiprofundi DSM 19306 CLTE_contig000009, whole genome shotgun sequence.
GGCUCCUUGGUCAAGCGGUUAAGACAUCGCCCUUUCACGGCGGUAACAGGGGUUCGAUUCCCCUAGGAGUCA